UUUAGGAAACAAAAGCACUCGUUUAAGUACAUGUUGAACAGCCUUCUCCAUAAAACGGAUAUUCUGAAGACAGUGAUGACAUGAAAGUUCAAGAUUUGCCUAUUGUGAGCAUUCAGAUACCUCGGUAAUACAGAAU